rnacentral:lncRNA from 1 species
CUCGCAGUCACUGGUUUGGCGCCUUCCCAUUGAUUAUGGCUAACUUUUAAUCCAAUCUUACCCGAUGUGACCUUUUUCCCCUCAAAGAAUCCAUCGGCGCUAGAGCUCAAUUUAGUAGUCGUUCGAGAUGCGAGCAGCAGCAGAACAAGCUCAAGAAGAAGAAAAAAAAAAACAAAAUAAGGCUUAGCAGUUUCUGAAUUUCAGGAAUUCGGAUUAUAGCUUUGUUCUGAAAUGGCAAAAUUCAGUUGCUGCGGCUUCGUGAGAAGGGGGAAGAAGCAAGUCAAGGUACGCAUAUAUUCUCAGAUUUAGGGCAUCUUUGAGGCAAAUGAACUUUUUUCAUAUGAUUAAAUUGAAAAUCUUUAGUCUUAUUACUUGCUUCAAUCAUGAAAAUAUUGAAAUCUCAUUCCAAGUUAGUAGAACUGAAGCAAUAUAUGCUAAAUCCCAUUGUUUGCAAUGUGUUCGUACCUCAUGAAUUCGCUUACUUCAUUGACUUUCAUUCUUUUGCUUUCAGGGAGACCAUAAACGUGUUCACG